UGACAUCACUUGAAAUCAUCGACUGUAAAAAAGUGAAUGCAAAGAGUAUGCAGAAUCUGAACAAGAGUCUCCGAACACUCACCUCUCUUGAAAGAUUGUCACUUGAUUUUGACUGCGACGAAAAUGUAGAUUGGUUUGCGGAGGAGCAGGAGGGGAUGUUUCCCAGCACUCUUACAUAUCUCAGUAUCGGCCGUCUGAAUUGUGAGACCAUCGACGGCGCCAAGUGGUUUGGCCAUCUCAACUCUCUUCGAAAAUUAAAUAUAUUUAAAUGCCCUGCGCUCCGGUGCUUGCCAGAUAGUGGGCUACCCUCUUCUAUUACUUAUCUACAAAUCAGUGGAUGUCCUUUGCUUCAGAAACGGUGCCGAAGAGGAAACGGUGAAUAUUGGCCCAAGAUUGCUCACAUCAAGAGCAUAUUUAUCGGUUUGUAAUGAUCUGACAACGACAGAGGGGUUGCAUUCUGAUCAACUUGGCCAUGUCUCAGAGGGCUUGCAUAUUCUGCGUGUAAGAUCCUAUUGUUUGAACUCGUUGUUGAUUCCACAGUUCUUGGGUCUUGCUUGAUCUGAUGAUCGAUGGGUUUGACAACGACAUGCCAUAUGUUGCACAUCUCAAUUCUGCAGUUUCGUGGAAAGUGGGCAAAAUUUCUUGAUAUGUUAAGACAGAGAUAGGCCAAGGUUAAGAUUGCUCGCAGGACCAAUAUUGCCUUGUCUUGAUGUCUGAGUUAUAAGCCUUCUCUUCUUAUCUGAACUUGCAGACUGUUCUUUAUCUCCUCCACUCAUUCACACUGUUUCCAAGCAGAAUGCAAAUCACAGAGAGAUGAGAGCCAAUUUUGGAGACUUUCUAGAAGGCUUUUAAAGUUGCUCUUUCAAUUUAGUCUUCACAAGCCUGCCACACAAAAUGUGGGAGAGUCGAUCGAGUGUAUAUCAGCUCUGUGAAAGUUGUACGUUGCAAUUAUAUGCAGCGUUACCACUAAAGGCCGUGCAUUUUGGAAAAGAUAGAGAGAGAGGUGAACUAAGCCAUGCGAUGUCCUGAUAGUCCCAGUUGCAGUGCUGCCACUGAAGAUAAACAAAGUGGGUUCUAGUAUUGAAUUCUAUUUUCCAUUUGCAUGUGCCAACCUCUGGAACCUCUUCUAAUCAAAGCUUCUAGUGUUUCUUGAGCUCUCUAGAUGUUAAGCGCGCAAUCCUGCCAGCCUGCCUCUGAAAGUCUGAAGGAGCUAUAAAUUCAUCAAAUGAAAUCUCGAUGCUGUGUGCGGGCGUGCAAAAGAUGACAUGAGGACCAACAUUGUUGCAACUUCAUUAAUUAGAACUCCCCUAACUGGACCUGUAAGAUUUUUUCCAGCUUCCAGCAUGUCUGCUAAUAUGGAGGUCCACGAUAGGUGUCUAUGCUGUUUGUUUUAUUUCAAUAAUUAACCUUCGGCCUCUCACAUAGCUGGAGCAACUAUUUGCAAGGAUGCUGGAGGAACUAUUUGUCAAAGGCUUCAACUUCAAAGGAGCAGAUGUAGUAGCACAUUCCAGUUAGUAGCAUCUUUCUAUUAGCUAUAAAGAGACACUACUGGACUCUUGUUUCUAUUGCUUGUUAAUCAAAUUUUCCAUCAUUUAUGGAACAUUUUCAACAAGGUUUGUACAAACUUUUCACAGAGUGUAUCCUAAAAACUAUACUUGCAAUGUAAUCACUAAUCAGU